UACGUAGGGUGCAGGCGUUUAAUCGGAAUUACUGGGCGUAAAGCGUGCGCAGGCGGUCUUUUAAGUCAGAUGUGAAAUCCCCCGGGCUUAACCUGGGAACUGCGUUUGAAACUGGCAAGCUUGAGUGUGGCAGAGGGGGGGUGGAAUUCCACGUGUAGCAGGUGAAAUGCGUAGAGAUGUGGAGGAACACCGAUGGCGAAGGCAGCCCCCUGGGCUAACCACGUGACGCCUCGAUGCACGAAAGCGUGGGGAG
rnacentral:rRNA from 1 species